AUACGGAGGGUGCAAGCGUUAUCCGGAAUCACUGGGCGUAAAGGACGCGUAGGCGGGUUGGCAAGUCAGAUGUGAAAUCCUACAGCUUAACUGUAGAACUGCAUUUGAAACUGCUAACCUAGAGUAUGGGAGGGGGAGAUGGAAUUAGUGGUGUAGGGGUAAAAUCCGUAGAUAUCACUAGGAAUACCGAAAGCGAAGGCGAUCUCCUGGAACAUAACUGACGCUAAGGCGUGAAAGCGUGGGGAGCAAACAGGAUUAGAAACCCCAGUAGUCC
rnacentral:rRNA from 1 species